GCUCCGGUGGUCUAGUGGUUACAGCGUCCGCUUCGGAUGUGGGAGGUCAUUGGUUCGAUCCCCGGUUGAAUCA